AAAAUAGCCAAAAGUCCGUCUUCUCUGGUUCUACUAGAACAUUAUCCUUAAUAGCCUGAAGCGUAUGGUUCUGAACAAGAUAUUUCCCAGAGCAGCAGCAGCGAGCCUGACACAGCACCAGACCCGUUUCAAGCUCCCAAACGACUUUUCCACAGCCGCGUGCCUCUGUUUUCCAUGCUACGUUUCCUGCUCUGAGUCACAGCAAAAACUCCUCCUCUCCUUCAUCAGUGAUCAAGCCAGCCCUGCCUGAAGUUUUUUUUCCUCAAGGGAACAGACGUGAUGCCUAUGGUGGUCUGCAAUUUGAAUCAUUUCAGAUGAGGAAUACAUGCAGGUCGCAGAAUGCCUUUUUCCUCAGAACUCACCCGCAGGAGGGCAAGAAUGCUUCUCAGUACCUGGGCGUGAAUGGUACUCACUACGCCAUGCAAACAAGCACAUAAUCAUAUCCCUGACUUGAAAUGUUUUCUUUUUUUUUUUUUAAUGUUUAGGAGAGAGAGGGAGUGUGAGUGGGGGAGGGGCAGAGAGAGAGGGAGACACAGAAUCUGAAAGAGGCUCCACGUACUGAGCUGUCAGCACAGAGCCCGACACGGGGCUCAAGCUCACAAACCACAAGAUCGUGACCUGAGCUGAAGUCAGUCGCUCAACCGACUGAGCCACCCAAGCACCCCUGAAAUGUUCUCUAAGAACCCGCCUGACUUGCAUGAUGGCAAGGCUCUUGGACCAGGGCCUUGACAUCCACUGCUUGGAUGACUCCCGAAGCACCAAGCCGUAGUCCAAAAUAUUGACUGAUUGUUUGGUUGACCAACUAAUACAACAACCGGCCGUCCUGGCUGCUUUGCUCAGAGAGCAGGCUGACUGAUUGUUUGGUUGACCAACUAAUACAACAACCGGCCAUCCCGGCUGCUUUGCUCAGAGUGCAGGCCAUCCUGCUCUGGAGAGGCAGGAUUCCAGGACAGUUACAUGUGGCCACAGCCUGACCGCCUGGGUUUGACAUCUGCCUCCUCCAUUUUCUGAUUAGGUGAACUUAGGUAAUUUGCCUCACUUCUCUGUGCCUUAAAAAUGUCUAAAAUAGGAAUCAUCAUAGUCUUUAUUGUGACAAUUCGUUGAAUUCAUCAUGUCAGGACUUAG
ensembl:lncRNA